GUUUAACAAGAUGUUUCUAGACUGGGAACCACCUCAGAAUGCAAUGCUCGUCUCAAGGAAUGUCCAGAGACAUGAAGCAACUGGUGGAAAUGAGGUAAGGAUCCAUUUCACUGACUCAAAAUGGAGUUAAGAUGGAUUUAUGCUUCUAUGAAGUGUCACCUGAUUUGACAUUAGAUUUCACUGGAUGGAUUUGCAAAUGACUUAGUCAAUAUACAUUUUGUUAUGCACGUCAUUGUCGACAUGCUGCACUUUAGCGUUUGGCCUUUCAUGCAUGUAUAAAGAUGCUAAACGUAACACUCGGUAGAGAAGCAUCAGUCCAUCUUGUUCCCGUGUCCUCCUCGUGCUGCUGAUGACAUUUAUUUGCUACUCUCGACCACAUGGAUGACGAUAACUCUCGACCCACCAGUUGAUUUAUCUGAGGCACAGACGAGAUGAUGCCUGCACAUUAAGAUUAUUGGUUUUGAUUGCUCAUGUUCUCUCUUGUUCCUGCAGGUGUGCUCACAAUGGUUGACUUGACCUUCAAAUGACAUCCAGAGCAGGUAAUGCACAUUUAUUAUUUGACCUAGUUGUCCUAAAAUAAACUGUGAAUGAUGAGCUUGUUUACAAAACAAUGGGAAUCUCUCUGAAUAAGAGUGAAAGAAGACUUUCUACUGAUGCAGUGCAGAUGAAGACAUGCCUGCAUUUAACAUAAUGUGCUUUUACUAAUGUGUGUUUCACCUGCAGGUCCUCUCUUCAUGGAUCCACUCCACACUUUCUUGGGCUCAGUACCAGGAACAUGAAGUGUUGGCAGUACGAGAAGUCUGGCAGGACAAACGUCCCAUGUGAAGAAAUGGAGACUUUGCUCUCUGAGCAUCGUCACAGCCUUGUGUCUAUGAAGUGUGAUGGUGAGAGCACGACGUCGUUGACAGUUUGA
rnacentral:lncRNA from 1 species